UUCUACACCUGGUUCACAUUAGCUUGAUUGACUCUCUGUCCUUUAAAGAGGGCUGGAGAUUCAGGUCUGGUGAUCUCUCUCAAUCAUCACAUCCAGAAAAGUUCAUCAUGAGGAUGUGUGCAGCCGUGGGUCUCUGGGUCCUAUCAGCAGUGAUCUGCGUGGGCAGAGGUCACGACAACGACCAGGCUGUCAAAGGCUCUAUAGUGGACGACAGCGUCUCCGUGGUGAACGACAGCGUCUCCGUGGUG